UACGUAGGUGGCAAGCGUUGUCCGGAAUUAUUGGGCGUAAAGCGCGCGCAGGCGGUCCUUUAAGUCUGAUGUGAAAGCCCACGGCUCAACCGUGGAGGGUCAUUGGAAACUGGGGGACUUGAGUGCAGGAGAGAAAAGUGGAAUUCCACGUGUAGCGGUGAAAUGCGUAGAGAUGUGGAGGAACACCAGUGGCGAAGGCGACUUUUUGGCCUGUAACUGACGCUGAGGCGCGAAAGCGUGGGGAGCAAACAGG
rnacentral:rRNA from 1 species